UUGUAAUUGGAAUGAUAGAAAUUUAAACCCUUUUUAAAGUAUCAAUUGGAGGGCAAGUCUGGUGCCAGCAGCCGCGGUAAUUCCAGCUCCAAUAGCGUAUAUUAAAAUUGUUGCAGUUAAAAAGCUCGUAGUUGAAGUUCUGCUGAAAGUAACCGGUCUGCUUUUAAUAAAAGUGGUAUCUUGGUAUGUAUUUAGCAAUGAUGUCCUUUGAAGUGUUUUUUACUUUAUUGUAAUAAAGCAUAUUCAGGACUUUUACUUUGAGAAAAUUAGAGUGUUUCUAGCAGGCUAACGCUUUGAAUACUGCAGCAUGGAAUAAUAAGAUAGGAUUUUAGUUCUACAUUAUUGGUUUUAAGAGCUAAAUUAAUGAUUGAUAGGGACAGUUGGGGGCAUUUGUAUUUAACUGUCAGAGGUGAAAUUCUUAGAUUUGUUAAAGACAAACUACUGCGAAAGCAUUUGCCAAAGAUGUUUUCAUUAAUCAAGAACGAAAGUUAGGGGAUCGAAGACGAUCAGAUACCGUCGUAGUCUUAACUAUAAACUAUGCCGA
rnacentral:rRNA from 1 species